rnacentral:misc_RNA from 1 species
AUAAUUAAAAUUUUAUAAAUUGUGCAGGAUAAAAUGAAAAACAAAAAUUCUAAACAUGCAAAACGAAUUGAAAAGCUAUGGCAAUCCCUAAACCAAGACAUAACCAGUGUAAAAAAAUGAAAAAGAGAAACAGAAAACUCAUAAGGAAACAAGCCCUAAGCCUCCCUACUCAUUUGGAAAGGGAAGAGCCUCAUCAACUUAGAAUAAGCU